UCGGGGCUUCUAACAUAUCAGCUGCGACCAGAUAAUGUUUACUGGGAGCCUUUGUUCUUCAUUUAAACGUCAAACCCACGGGGCUCUGAACGUCGUGUAAAACUAGAACACCUAUGAAUUUAAACGGUGUGAUCAAUUUAUCAAAGGUAAAGCAUCUGACUUAUCUUAAUCUUCCAGAUUAGAUGGUCAGGAUAAGACAAUUACGCCGACCUACAAGGUCGGCCCUAAAUCCGUAACACAAAUAAUAGUAAGUGAAAU
rnacentral:lncRNA from 1 species